UCUCUCGUCUUUUCUCUUUCUCAUCCGUUGCAUCUCUGAUGAACGACAAAAGGAGCCAGCAGCAGUUUGAGAAGUAGACGAAAAGCUUUUUGACUCCCGAGGAAAAACUAUUUCGCCCCACCUUCCCCUCUGGCACGAGGUAAUGAGCAUGGUAAUCUGUUGGAUGAGGGCCUUCAAGACUCUGAUUUUCAGAGUCAUCAUCAAUCUAGAAAUGAUUGGAUUCGAUGAAACGAGGAUUUCUUUCAACAACGAAAGGCAAAAGCUUCAAUUUUAAUCCGACAAGAGUCGUGAGCUAAAGCUUCCACUGUCAUCAGCUUAAAUCCGACUUUCACUCUGCAGCUCUGCGG